rnacentral:rRNA from 1 species
GACGAACGCUGGCGGCGUGCUUAGCACAUGCAAGUCGAGCGAGACCCCGCUUUCGGGUGGGUGUUCUAGCGGCGAACGGGUGAGUAACACGUGGGCAACCUGCCCUCAGCUCUGGGAUAACUCCAAGAAAUUGGGGCUAAUACCGGAUAUGACCGCUGACCGCAUGGUCUGGUGGUGGAAAGAUUUAUCGGCUGGGGAUGGGCCCGCGGCCUAUCAGCUUGUUGGUGGGGUAGUGGCCUACCAAGGCGACGACGGGUAGCCGGCCUGAGAGGGUGACCGGCCACACUGGGACUGAGACACGGCCCAGACUCCUACGGGAGGCAGCAGUGGGGAAUAUUGCGCAAUGGGCGAAAGCCUGACGCAGCGGCGCCGCGUGGGGGAUGACGGCCUUCGGGUUGUAAACCUCUUUCAGCAGGGACGAAGCGAAAGUGACGGUACCUGCAGAAGAAGCACCGGCCAACUACGUGCCAGCAGCCGCAGUAA